rnacentral:rRNA from 1 species
CCUACGGGUGGCAGCAGUGGGGGAUAUUGGACAAUGGGGGGAACCCUGAUCCAGCGACGCCGCGUGAGUGAAGAAGUAUUUCGGUAUGUAAAGCUCUGUUAGUAGGGAAGAAAGAAAUGACGGUACCCGACCAAGAAGCCCCGGCCAACUACGUGCCAGCCGCCGCGGUAAUACGUAGGGUGCAAGCGUUAUCCGGAAUUACUGGGUGUAAAGGGAGCGGAGGCGGGUAAGUAAGUCUGGAGUGAAAUGCCGGGGCUCAACCCCAGAACUGCACUGGAAACUAUUGUACUUGAGUGCGGGAGAGGUAAGUGGAAUGCCUGGUGUAGCGGUGAAAUGCGUAGAUAUUAGGAGGAACACCAGUGGCGAAGGCGGCUUGCUGGACCGUAACUGACGUUGAGGCGCGAAAGCGUGGGGAGCAAACAGGAUUAGAUACCCGAGUAGUC